UUCACAAGUGUUGUCCAAAACCUUAAACUCCACGAAAUUAAAACCUAGCCUCUCAAACUCAUGUCCGUCGAAACUCCACAAAAACGCAUCUCUGCCGAAACUCCACAUAAAUCUAUCUCCACCGAAACUUUCCUCCCACUGCCCGCACCUAACCUCCUUCGUGACCUAGCCUCAUCUGCCACCCCCACCAGCGACCUAGCUUCCUCCUCCCCUCCGUCGUCGCUCUUCUUCGUUGCCGUUUUCUUUAACUCUUUUUCUUUGCGGUCGUCGUUCACUAUUUUCCCCUAUGCCAGACGACGACGAGGGCAGAGGAAUCAGGAGGGAUUUUUUUUUCAAAGUUAGGUAACAUUGACAACACUUGUUAAAGACGAAACCACUUGAGGGCAGAGACAUGGGCAAGUCGGAAGAGGUUCUGAAGGCUGCAAAUAUAGACGAGGAGGCGGAGGGGGCAAACAGCCAUAUAGGUAAGGAGGCGAGCAGUUUAUUAAAAGGUUCUACGAGCAGCUUCACCUCCAGCAGAGGAUUACUCCAAUGACUCCGGUGUAGAAACGAUUCACUUGUCUUCCUCUAAUCCUGAAACCCUCGUCUUUGCUUUUUCAAGUCUGAUUGGGAAUUUGAUUGAAUUUUUUUAGUGGAAAAUUAUGCAAAGUAAUAGAUUUUACCUUUUGGAACACUCGCAUGGCUUCUUCUUGAGUCUUUUCAUCUUUUCUCAUCCAUUUUGUUCUUUUUUUUGAAUAGACAUAGAGUUUAUUAAUUUGAUUGCUCUUUUGAAUGAAUAAAUAGGCUGAAACAAAACAACUCAUAUAUGAACAAACUGUUUUCUUUCUUCAUUUGCAACUUUUGCAGUAGAUUUGCCUUGCAAUAGUGAUGUUUUUUUGUAGUCCCUUUGACUUGUGUAGGCUUUUCCUUUGUGAUCGGCUUUGUGAAGGCUGUGAGGAAGUUCACUUCGCCGAGAGCACAACGCAAGAGAUUGGUCAAUAAGAAUGCUUUCUUACUGAAAUCAAUAGAUGAAUUGUUUUUGAAGGGAAGGAAUGAAGUAAAUAACGCGGUUCUCUGAAAGAGCUUAUGCAAAAGUGGGGUCAAGAUAUACAAUGCAUCAAGGGGUAUUUCAAAAGGACCGGGUUUUAAACAAUUGACAGGUAAUCUUAAACAAAAUGGUGGUGUUGAAUGUGGCAAUUGUGUGAUGUGGUACAUGAAAGAGAUAGUCUUGGAUGAAGAUUCACAAUUGGAGAGAAAGUUUGCAGCAUCAAAAAAUAAACAGUAUUACAAUCAAUCUCAGUAUGAUGAAGUCAGAAGUGAAUGGAGAGAAUUCGUCAACUUCUAUGUGGGUGCCUAAGUGUAGGCUAUGAUAUAAAUUUUAGACAUGUAUUUAGAGAUUUAUGUACAAAAGUUUUUGGGUUAUGGUUAAACAUGUCUUUUAUGAAUACACUUUUGGAUUGUAUUUGAUACAUAUUUGUGAUAUAUUUGU